UACGGGGGGGGCAAGCGUUGUUCGGAAUUACUGGGCGUAAAGGGUGCGUAGGUGGGUCUUUAAGUCAGGGGUGAAAUCCUGGAGCUCAACUCCAGAACUGCCUUUGAUACUGAAGAUCUUGAGUUCGGGAGAGGUGAGUGGAACUGCGAGUGUAGAGGUGAAAUUCGUAGAUAUUCGCAAGAACACCAGUGGCGAAGGCGGCUCACUGGCCCGAUACUGACGCUGAGGCACGAAAGCGUGGGGAGCAAACAGG
rnacentral:rRNA from 1 species